rnacentral:rRNA from 1 species
CAGGAUGAACGCUAGCGGCAGGCUUAAUACAUGCAAGGCGAAGGGGCAGCAAUGUCACUGUCGUACGGGUGCGUAACGCGUAUGCAACCUACCUAUCACUGGGGGAUAGCCCGGGGAAACCCGGAUUAAUACCGCAUAAAACAGGGGCACCGCAUGGUGAUAUUUGUUAAAGAUUUAUUGGUGAUAGAUGGGCAUGCGUUCGAUUAGCUAGUUGGCGGGGUAACGGCCCACCAAGGCGACGAUCGAUAGGGGAGCUGAGAGGUUGAUCCCCCACACGGGCACUGAGAUACGGGCCCGACUCCUACGGGAGGCAGCAGUAGGGAAUAUUGGGCAAUGGAUGCAAGUCUGACCCAGCCAUGCCGCGUGCCGGAUGAAGGCCCUCAGGGUUGUAAACGGCUUUUAUUCGGGAAGAAGAGCAGGGAUGCGUCCUUGUGUGACGGUACCGAAGAAUAG